rnacentral:sRNA from 1 species
UGACUGUGUAUUGCCUUUGAACAAAUGAUUAAAGUUCAUCCUUAUUCAUUUUGUACACCCAACAUAAUCAAAGAGAAAGUGAAAGUAUCCCUGGUGCUAGAUUGUCGUGUUUUAUUGUUAGCUGCGUGUAUACGUGUAGUAGAGAUGUCGAUGCCAUUUAAGUUAGAAUGCUUGUAUAUCCUAGUGUCUCAUUUUAAAAUAAACGUCUCAUUUUCAAUCAUGCAAAAUUUGAACUUCCAAUGGGGAAAUCUAAGGGAGGUAAGCGGAAACUUUAGGAUUUUUAAAUUCAGAUUAACAGAUAUUAUUUAUUUAUUUAUUUGUAUUGGACUUGUGUAAUAUAUGAUAUGUAUUCUGAGAUUUUUUUUUAUAGAAAUGAACUGGUACUUUAUGAAAAUGCUAAAAAUUGUUUUACUAGAAAAAUGAAUGAAAUUUAAGUAUUUAUAAAAUCAACUUAUGCUGUUCAAUAGAAAAAGUUAGUUUUUAUGAAACAGUAGCCAAUAUUAUUAGAAAGACAGUGUUUUAACAAAUAUGAAUGAAGAGCCUAGAUGUAUUUAGAGAUAAGCAUUAAAUUUGAUUUUCCCCUGCAGUUUAUUUCAAGAUUUACUAUCUGUAAAAGACGAAAUAAUAAUUAAUAGAAUAGAUAAUGUAAGAUUACAAAAAAAUUUAUAUAAUAAAAAAGCAUUAAUUAGUUUGGUUAUAAUUGUUUUAACAUCCCCUAGCUUGUAAAUGGCCAAAGAUUUAUACAUGCCUAAACAUGAUUUCAUCAGCUAUCAAGAAUUUUGAAAAACUUUAAAUAUUUAAUACUUCUUCAAUUAACAAAUAUCUUGAUUGAUUUAAGAAAAAAUCAUAUUGCCAUGGUUGAAAUACAUUUCCCAGCUUCAGUAAUUGUUUUAAAAAACUGAUGGAGGUAUUCAGAAUUGUUGAUACAAAUCUGUUUUAUGAAACUGUGUUCCUCGAGGAGCAGUUUUUUCCCCAGUAUGUACAGGUAUUUGACAACAUAUCCUUAUACUGUGAUAGUACAUGUAUUAGCUAUGUCUUAGGUAUUCCAGUAUGUUGUAAAUAUUUAACAGAAUUGUUAGAGAGGCCACAGUGCCAAGUUUGGUCAAUGUUGAAUAAAUGUUACAAAUAUUAU